rnacentral:tRNA from 1 species
CAAGGAGUAGUUUAAGUAGAAUAUCAGCUUUGGGUGUUGAUGGUGGGGUUGUUUCCUCUUCCUUGA